AAGACACCCUUGUGGGGCAAGACUUGCUUCAGUGGGGCUUUGGUGCUCACUGAGUCUGCCCCCUGAGAGUGCACUU
rnacentral:pre_miRNA from 1 species